ensembl:lncRNA
GGAUUUGGAUUGUGGUAUAUGAUAUUGAUUUUAUGAACUUUCUUUUUAUUGAACAGAAAGUACAAAAAAUGACAUACACAAGUACUGUAGAUUUUUACAGUAAAUAUACAGUGACUUAAGGACAUACACAGACAGUUAUUAAUCAUAUAAUAUAUUAUCAUUAAGAAUCCUACAGUAUAUCUUUACAAUUAUACAGUGGGAAGCCACUUGUAAUUAUUAGCACUUAUUCAGCAUCUUAUUCACCACUUUGGAAACAGAAAAUAUCAUUAUAUGGUCAGACAGGACCCAUUUCUCAUUGCUUGGGUCACUUUUUUAAAACUCUUCACAGUUCUCCUUACCAAAUUUUAGCUGGCACAGCACUUAAAUUCAGAUUCAAAAUGCCCUUAAAAAAAAUUACAUGUGUUAAAUACUUGAUUUGUAAUAAAUUUGUAAUAAACUGAUAGCACACCUACAUCUUGGAGAGUUUGCUCAUCUGCAAUACGUAUAGGACUUUUCCGGUCAGGUGUCAAAUAGACGUUUAUAAAAUGUCUUUAUAAGAUGUUUUUGAUUUAGAAUGCGUGUAAAACUGACAUCUUUGAGACGUUCAUCAGAUGUUUGUACACAUCAGAUUCCUUCCAGAUGAAGCGAUCUUUGACAGACAUCUUGCAGAUGUAUGUGCUAUUUCCAUUAUAUGUAAAUUUCCAUUAGAAUUUAUGUAAUUUGAAAUGUGUAGUCAUUGAAAGCAUUUAGUGCCAAAGCACGUAGGCUUCGUCUUGAAAAACUGGUCCUAGUGUAUGUAGAAAACUGUAAUUUGUAUUUAUUAUAGCACAAAACUCAGAAUAUUAAUUUAUUCUUGAUUUAGAGGAUGCUCUUUAUGAGAACUGAAUUCAGACUGGCAUUCAAAUGAAAUACAACAAAUCAUUGGACAUGUACUCAUGGUUCAUAUCUUUAGGAAGCUUUUCUGCAUAAAAAUUUGAGCGAGAUAUAUUAGACCAAGCUUCCGUAGCCUUUUCAGUUAUUUGUUUGGUUAUAUUAGAUCUAAACUCACUAGUUUCAAUAUCACAAAUGUGACUUGAGCAUAUUCUUUCUGCUCUCUGUUUGGCUAUUUGUCGCAAUUUUUCAUCCAAAUGUUUAUCUGUUUCCUCAGACAGGAGCUCCUCAUAGCGCGUCUUGAAGUAUGGUUUUCCUUUGCAGAUCUUGGAACAGCACUUCUUCAGACAUUCAUAGCUGGGGUGAUUACAGAUCUCACCACAGCAUUUGGCAUUUAAACACCGAAAAGAAAAACUGUCACAACAUAUCCCAAUCUUGGUGUUUGAUGUCAGCCACCAUCCACAGAAACCAACAGCUAUGCAGACGUAACCGUAAAUCUGCAAAAGAUGAGUGAUGUUUAAUCAGUUGUUUAAUAAUUAUGCUUAAAUCUUGAACUGAAUGGCAGAUUCAACUGUGAGCGCUUGUCUCACAAAGGAGAUUAAAUCGGUUUUCCUGUGCAGUGGUGGGAACUUCUGAUUGUCAUUCGUGCUGGGUCUCCAAACUCGGUCCUGCAGAGCCACUGUCCUGCAGAGUUUCGCUCCAACCCUAAUUAAACACACCUGAACCACCUAAGGAACGAAGACCCGCCUCUCCAUUCAC